rnacentral:rRNA from 1 species
GUUAAAAAGCUCGUAGUUGGAUCUCGGCGGUCUGAGGGCGGUUCGCUUGAUUGAGUGCUACUGCUCUAUAGGCCGUGGUUUUGCCAGAGGUCUCGGGGUGCUCUUGACCGAGUGUCCUGCGAUGCUGGCAGGUUUACUUUGAAAAAAUUAGAGUGCUCAAAGCAGGCUUUUACGCCUGAAAAUUCGUGCAUGGAAUAAUAGAAUAGGAAGUCGUUUCUAUUUUGUUGGUUUUCGGAAAUCGACUUAAUGAUUAAUAGGGACAGUCGGGGGCAUUUGUAUUCAAACGACAGGGGUGAAAUUCUUGGACCGUUUGAAGACAAACUACUGCGAAAGCAUUUGCCAAGAAUGUUUUCAUUAAUCAAGAACGAAAGUUAGAGGUUCGAAGGCGAUUAGAUACCGCCCUAGUUCUAACCAUAAACGAUGCCAGCUAGCGAUCUGCCGACGUUUUCUUUGUAGACUCGGCAGGAAGCUUCCGGGAGACCAAAAGCAUUUGGGUUCCAGGGGAAGUAUGGUUGCAAAGCUGAAACUUAAAGGAAUUGACGGAAGGGUACCACCAGGAGUGGAGCCUGUGGCUUAAUUUGACUCAACACGGGAAAUCUCACCAGGCCCGGACACUGGAAGGAUUGACAGAUUGAUAGCUCUUUCU